UACGUAGGGGGCAAGCGUUGUCCGGAAUCAUUGGGCGUAAAGAGCGUGUAGGCGGCUCGGUAAGUCCGCUGUGAAAGUCCAGGGCUCAACCCUGGAAUGCCGGUGGAAACUGUCGAGCUAGAGUCCGGAAGAGGCGAGUGGAAUUCCUGGUGUAGCGGUGAAAUGCGCAGAUAUCAGGAGGAACACCAAUGGCGAAGGCAGCUCGCUGGGACGGUACUGACGCUGAGACGCGAAAGCUAGGGGAGCAAACGGG
rnacentral:rRNA from 1 species